UCCAGAAAAUUCCGGAGUGGCAGUUUAGAGCUCAUUAAAGGCUGAAUAAGGAAGAGUUCCACUCGUUGUGUGACGAGCUCAGGCACAAUACCAGUUUAAAAGGUUCUAAAACAACUUCACUGGAACUUAAGGUGCUGACAGCAUUGAACUUUUAUGCCAUGGGUUCAUAUCAGAAAGGUGUUGCUAA